UCCAGACUCCUACGGGAGGCAGCAGUGGGGGAUAUUGCACAAUGGGGGGAACCCUGAUGCAGCGACGCCGCGUGGGUGAAGGAGCGUUUCGGCGCGUAAAGCCCUAUCGGCAGGGAAGAAGGAGGACGGUACCUGACUAAGAAGCCCCGGCUAACUACGUGCCAGCAGCCGCGGUAAUACGUUGGGGGCAAGCGUUAUCCGGAUUUACUGGGUGUAAAGGGGGCGCAGACGGCAGCGCAAGCCAGGAGUGAAAGCCCGGGGCCCAACCCCGGGACUGCUCUUGGAACUGCGCGGCUGGAGUGCAGGAGGGGCAGGCGGAAUUCCUGGUGUAGCGGUGAAAUGCGUAGAUAUCAGGAGGAACACCGGUGGCGAAGGCGGCCUGCUGGACUGCGACUGACGUUGAGGCUCGAAAGCGUGGGGAGCAAACAGGAUUAGAUACCCCAGUA
rnacentral:rRNA from 1 species